CCUACGGGCGGCAGCAGUGAGGAAUAUUGGUCAAUGGCCGAGAGGCUGAACCAGCCAAGUCGCGUGAGGGAGGACUGCGCUGUGGGUUGUAGACUUCUUUUAUCUGGGGAUAAAACGUUCCACUCGUGGGGUCUUGUGUGUACCAUGUGAAUAAGGAUCGGCUAACUCCGUGCCAGCAGCCGCGGUAAUACGGAGGAUACGAGCGUUAUCCGGAUUUAUUGGGUUUAAAGGGUGCGUAGGUGGAGUUUUAAGCCAGUUGUGAAAUUUUGCGGCUCAACCGUAAAAUGGCAGUUGAAACUGGCAGCCUUGAGUGCAGCGGAGGCGGGCGGAAUUCGUGGUGUAGCGGUGAAAUGCUUAGAUAUCACGAAGAACCCCGAUUGCGAAGGCAGUGUACUGGACUGCAACUGACACUGAGGCUCGAAAGUGCGGGGAUCGAACAGGAUUAGAUACCCGAGUAGUC
rnacentral:rRNA from 1 species